rnacentral:rRNA from 1 species
GUCGGAUCCUAAGGCGAGGCCGAAAGGCGUAGUCGAUGGAAAUCAGGCUAAUAUUCCUGAACUUUUUACAACUGCGAUGGGGUGACGGAGAAGGUUAGGUCAGCCGGGUGUUGGAAGUCCCGGUUCAAGCGUGUAGGCAGAUCUCUUAGGCAAAUCCGGGAGGUUAAUGCUGAGACGUGAUGUCGAGGCCCCAUGUGGGCCGAAGUGAUUGAUACCAAGCUUCCAGGAAAAGCCUCUAAGCUUCAGGUUGUAGAAAUUCGUACCCUAAACCAACACAGGUGGGCGAGGAGAGUAUCCUAAGGCGCAUGAGACAACUCGGGUGAAGGAACUCGGCAAAAUA